rnacentral:lncRNA from 1 species
ACGUCUUAAUGAACUGUUCUCUUUACUUGCAGGUCAAAAUGUUGAAAGUCCAAACCUCCAUAGGGGUUGAAAUUCAAUGGAAAAUUGUCGAACAUGAACUGUUCACAAAUGUGAAAAAUUCUCCUGAGCUGCAGAAGCAGUAUGCUCUCCAGCUAGUCUGCGAAAAUGUUAAAAGUGGAGCCCUUAAACCAUGUACCCUUGUUGGGUGGAGCUGGCAGGAAGUUUGAAAGGCUCUUCACAACAAGUUGAAGAAGGUGUAAGGCAGCCUACAGUUUCCCCAGAUUCCGCUUCUACUGGAAUGGAAGUUGGUGAGUUUUCAGGCGAGCUUUCGACUCCUGUUCGGACAGAUGAAACUGGUGAUGAGAAUAUUCCUGACAAUAAUAUCCUUUGGAGUUGGGCUCCAACAAAGCUGCUCAUCAAUAUAAGACUGUCCAUGGACCCAGAUUUCGUGCGGCCUAAGUGCAGCAAGAAAGCGCUGUGGAAUAGAGUCUCCGCCAAAAUGAAGGAAAAAGGCUACACUUUCUCAGAUAAGGAUUGCAGAGAAAAAUUUAAAAAUUUACUUGCUACCUACAGACGAAAUGCACUAAAAGCCGGCCCGAACGGGACUGGGGAAGAAGCGAUCAAAUGGCCGCAUUAUCAAGAAUUUAAGGAAGUUUUCCAUAAAAAGGCCAAAAUCAACAUCCCCCCCAAUUAUUGGGCUCUUCCAUGA